CUUUUUUGUUACUGGUUUCAAAAUUCCAGUGUACUUUUCUUUCUAUUCUAUUUUCUUGUGAUUGAUUUCUUGAACAUUCAGUUGAAGUGAAAGAGAGCUUUAGCAUGCUCCUGCAAAGAAUCACUGAAGAAAGACUAUGAGUACGGACACCUGAAACUAAAAGGUAAACCUGUAAAUCUGCUCUUUGUUUUGCUGCCUUGUAGGCUAUGUCUCUGAUGCUAUCAGUGGAUCCGGAGUCACGAUGUUGCUUCCAGAAAAGAGAACAAUACUCUUGUCAGUGAGAGGAAGUGAGUGUUACUGCCUUUAAUGUACAACCGACAUGUUGACACUAGUAUUUUGCCAUUUCGUACAUGCUUGAACAUUGUAUGGUAGCUAGCUUAGUUGAUAAAAAAUGUAAGUUGUUGUAAUAUAGACGUGCAAUUGGAACUCGUGUGGGUUUGGCCUUUGUGCCUCCUUAUAUAUGUAUAAAUUAAAAGAACAGGCAUAUUAUUUUUA